rnacentral:rRNA from 1 species
UACGAAGGGGCUAGCGUUGCUCGGAAUUACUGGGCGUAAAGGGCGCGUAGGCGGACAGUUUAGUCAGAGGUGAAAGCCCAGGGCUCAACCUUGGAAUUGCCUUUGAUACUGGCUGUCUUGAGUUCGGGAGAGGUGAGUGGAAUGCCGAGUGUAGAGGUGAAAUUCGUAGAUAUUCGGCGGAACACCAGUGGCGAAGGCGACUCACUGGCCCGAUACUGACGCUGAGGCGCGAAAAGCGUGGGGAGCAAACAGGGAAUUAAGAA